rnacentral:ncRNA from 1 species
UCCGCUGAAUUUAAGCAUAUUAAUAAGCGGAGGAAAAGAAACUAACAAGGAUUUCCUUAGCGGCGAGCGAACAGGAAUGAGCCCAGCACUAAAUCCCGUGAUACCGCCGUUGGAAACUAUAGUGUUCGGGAGGAUCCGUUUAUUCCGUGACGUCGAACUGCGUCCAAGUCUAUCUUAAAUGGGGCCCGUAGUGACCGGUACGCGUUUUGGGAGGAUCACUCCUUAGAUUCGAGUUGCUUGAGAGUGCAACCCUAAGUAGGUGGUAAACUCCAUCUAAGGCUAAAUACUACCAUGAGACCGAUAGCGAACAAAUAUCGUGAGGGAAAGUUGAAAAGAACUUAGAAGAGAGAGUUCAAGAUUACGUGAAACCAUUCAGAGGUAAACCUAAGAAACCCAAAAGAUCGAAUGGGGAGAUUCAUUGACAACGGUGCUGACUCCUGUUGAUGCGUCAUGCUCCGGACGAAUCCUCGUGAUUCAUCGGCAAGGGCACAUCACUUUCGGCUUGAAUGUUCCGGCAUAGUAGUCGUGUAUUUUUCUCCUAGUAGAAUGUCACGAUUUGUUGUGUGUCGAGGGUGCGUCCAAGAGAACGCCUGUCACGUCGCUUCGUGCGCACGUGGCAGACUGUUGAUUGCCUGGCCGGCUGCACGACGGUACUCGCAUGAUAUCGGGCAACAACCAAUUCAUUUUUUCGAAUGUAUGUGCGUCAGGCCCGCCGCAAGCUCGGCUAUUAGGAGCCGGUGUACUUGAUCCUGACUAAGACUCGAAUUAUCAGUCGGCGAUGCUAUUGCUUGAGUACUCUCAGGAGCUGUCUUGACACAUGG